CCUACGGGAGGCAGCAGUGAGGAAUAUUGGUCAAUGGGCGGGAGCCUGAACCAGCCAAGUCGCGUGAGGGAAGACGGUCCUAUGGAUUGUAAACCUCUUUAGGCGGGGAGCAAUGCCGGGCACGCGUGCCCGGAGGGAGAGUACCCGCAGCAUAAGCAUCGGCGAACUCCGUGCCAGCAGCCGCGGUAAUACGGAGGAUGCGAGCGUUAUCCGGAUUGAUUGGGUUUAAAGGGUGCGUAGGCGGAUUUUUAAGUCAGCGGUAAAAUGUCCGGGCUCAACCCGGGCCGGCCGUUGAAACUGGGGAUCUUGAGUGGGCGAGAAGUAUGCGGAAUGCGUGGUGUAGCGGUGAAAUGCAUAGAUAUCACGCAGAACUCCGAUUGCGAAGGCAGCAUACCGGCGCCCGACUGACGCUGAGGCACGAAAGCGUGGGGAUCGAACAGGAUUAGAUACCCGAGUAGUC
rnacentral:rRNA from 1 species